rnacentral:lncRNA from 1 species
UUGAGACUUAUUGGUCUAUUAGACCAUUAGUGCAUUUAAACAUGAGUCAAAUUACUUAUUUAAAUAUGUUGAUAUGGAAUAGAUCUUAAAAUUUAUUCAAAGCUAAAAUAUCAAAAGAAGCACUUCAUAUAUAUAUAAACAAUUCAAAAUCAAUACCUUCAAUAUAUAUUUGUCCAUUGCAUUCCAAUGAACCACAGUAGCAAAUUUUACUCAAA